AUUGAACGCUGGCGGCAGGCCUAACACAUGCAAGUCGAACGAGCGGAGGACGGGUGAGUAAUGACUGGGAAACGGCCUGAUGGAGGGGGAUAACUAAUGGAAACGGUACCUAAUACCGAAUACCAUCAGAUGUGCCCAGAUGGGAUUAGCUAGUUGGUGGGGUAACGGCUCACCAAGGCGACGAUCCCAGGCUGGUGUAAGAGGAUGACCAGCAACAGUGGAACUUAGACACGAUCCAGACUCCUACGGUGGGCAGCAGUAGGGAAUAUUGCACGAUGGGCGCAAGCCUGAUGCAGCCUGGCAGCGUGUAUGAAGAAGGCAUUCGGGUUAUAAAGUACUUGCAGCAGAGAGGCGUUACCCGCAGAAGAAGCCCCGGCUAACUCCGUGCCAGCAGCCGCGGUAAUAC
rnacentral:rRNA from 1 species